GAGAUGUGCUGAGAGAUUCCGUUUAGGGCUCGUUUACACGACCGUUGCCCCCACGUGCCUGUGCUGUGGACCACAAAUUGCAGUCCGCAAUGCACGGGCACCGACUGUGGGCCAGCCGCAUGCGGAUUGCAAACCCAUUCACUUGAAUGAG